CAAAAGAUAAAAAUGCACCAUGGAAAUUUACAAAGGGGCUUCAAAAGGUCUAGCAAGGCUCAGACCCUGCCCGUGGAGCUGGAGGCCUCCCCACCCUGGGGCUCACCCGCUGCUCCAGCUGCCCCAUUGUUUAGUCUGAGUUUCACAUGACUCGGCCCAUCCUGCCUGGAGAGAGAUGGAUCUCAUCCAUUCCCCAGAAGAAGCAGCAGGAGGUCAAGGCUUUGAGCCAACUGUUAUGUAAACAUUAAAGAGAAUUUUCUCUUCUUUUUUAAUGGAAGGAACUCCCCUUCAUGAUUUUAUCUUUUUGUCCUCCCUGGAGAGAGGCUGCUUAAUUGUUUUCAUUCCUUACCUAAAUAUUUUUAUCAUCAUAGCAACGGGAAUGAUUUAGGGGCCAAUGGGAUUUUAACUGGCCCAGUGCCACAAGUGGAACUAUAGGCAUUUUAAUGUUUGCAAUUUAGCAUGUCAGCACGAUGUUAUGAAAAGAGAGUGGCUCUGGAAUUGGACAGACUUGGACAAAACUCUCAUCUCAGACACUAACUAGCUCUGUGUGACCUAGGAAUAGUUACUUAACUUUUCCGUGCUCCAGGAUUCUUACCAGUAACAUGAUGGCCAAAAUAUUUGCAUUUUCAUGUUUUGAAUAGUAAUUUAAAUGAGGAUACAAGCUUGCCAAGAACUGUGAAGGGUCUGAGGUUUUGCCCUGCCUUGAAGUGAGCAAUUUGGCCUAUACCAGUUUCAUAGAUGCUGACAGAAGACGUGAGAUUCCUGGGUCAGAGACAAAGGCACUUACAGCCCAGCAAGCAGUAUGAUGACAUCAGCAUAUUUGAAUGACAUCUCCUCAUCUCCAAGUUACACGUGGGUGAUGUGGUUGAUCUCAGAAGAUGUUUAUCCAUAUGGUGGGUUGAGUUCCAGAAGAGAAAUCUUGAGCCAAGAAAAUGAGAAUCUCAUAAUGGGCAGUAAAAUGCCUGCCUCUUGCACUGGAUGGAGCUACUACUUGGUCUUCCAAGUCUGUUUAAUACACAAACAUCCUGGAAAAUGUAGUCAAGAACACAGUGCAGUUCCUGCCUCACUCAACAGAUGUAAAAAAUGCAAGAGACCCGUGGAGAAUUGUCUUCCAACAAGGUUCAAGCCAAAUGGCACCCCCCUUCCCCGGGGCGACCUCAGCCUGCUCCCAGUUCCUUCCUGGACACUCCGAAACCAUGGCUUCUCAACUCACCACCUCUGUCAGCUUUGCCUUGUCUGUGAGAGCCUUGGGACACCAACAGGCUAGAGCACAAGACCCAGGGUCCGGGAUUCAGAGGAGGGUCCUGACGCUUACCCAAGAAACAUCAUCUCCUCCCACUUGCCAUCCACACUGGUCCCAGCAACCAGGAUUGAAUCAGCGCCUGAGCUUUGCUCUAGCAGUGCAGGUGGACCAGACUACCUCUGAGACUCAUCGAUCAAAACACCACUUCACUGUCAAUUACGGUCCCAUGAAGCCCUCGAUAUCUGAAGCCUCUGACCCCUGUUGUCCACCUUCCCAAAGUGCCACGGGACCAUCAGCACAGUGACUCAUACCACGUUUAUGCCAAAGUAGCACUAAGUUAGCAAAUGAGGCAAAGUAGCAAACGAAGUAGAUUCCUAUGGUCAUUAUGGCCAUGUGUGAAAACCAAACGCCAGCUCUCCAGCAUCAGCCCUGAGACGUGGGGGAUAAAAGAAAAAAAA